GUCCUCAGUUCCUCUGGGCCUUCCUGGGCCUCACUCUCCCUCGGAGGGUGAGGGUGUGGUCAGUCCUUCGGGUGACGCCUCAUGGUUUCUGGACUGCUAGACUGGAGCUGAUCAUCUCUGGUCACCCGGAUAGCUUCACGGAAUCGGACCCACACAUGUUUUGGUACUCAAUAGUAAAACACUGGAAACAAAGUCCAUCCAGAUAUACAAUAUGGACGGGAUUGGUUAAAUAACUUGCCCAUAUGCCCCAGCUCUCAGCCUGGUGACUGCACAGAGCUCCUGGGACACGUGUACAGCUCUGGACAACACAAGGGAAAGUUCUGUUUUCUGAAGUGACUGAUGAUGUGUUUAUACAUUAUCUUCUUGCAACAUUCUCUGUGUAGAGAAAAGGGAGAAGUAUGCUAAUUUGCCCAGGAUUUAAAAUAUGUUGACUAUAAA